rnacentral:rRNA from 1 species
GGAGCAAACGAAGUGAAGCAUGUUAUUUAAUACGAAAGUACGCGUAAAAUCUUACCAGUUCUUGCAUAGCCAAUCCCUCUUAUUUUUUUAUAAAUAAACUACUCACUCACUUGCUUCGAAGAGAAGGUAUUUAUUUAGAUAAAUAGUAAUUGUAUUUAUUAUUUAUUUAUUUAUUUAUUUUUUCUUCUUCAUAGGGAGAAGAAGAUUUUUAUUUUAAAUUUAAGACUGGAUUGAGUGAUAAUUAUUUAUGAAUAAGUUAUUUUACCUUUUUUGUUUCUUCCCUAUAUUUACCUUAGGGAGAUACACCUUUGCUUUUAUCCCUAUCCAUAGGGAUGGAAAAAAAGUAGUACCUACGGAUAGAAAUAGAGGAGACAAAAUAGUGUACAAAUAUUUAAUUAUAUUAAUUUAUCCGUUUACAGGUGUUGCAUG